rnacentral:rRNA from 1 species
UUGAACGCUGGCGGCAUGCCUUACACAUGCAAGUCGAACGGUAACGGGUUAAGCCGACGAGUGGCGAACGGGUGAGUAAUAUAUCGGAACGUGCCCAAUCGUGGGGGAUAACGCAGCGAAAGUUGUGCUAAUACCGCAUAAGAUCUACGGAUGAAAGCGGGGGACUCGCAAGAGCCUCGCGCGGACGGAGCGGCCGAUGGCAGAUUAGGUAGUUGGUGGGAUAAAAGCUUACCAAGCCGACGAUCUGUAGCUGGUCUGAGAGGACGACCAGCCACACUGGGACUGAGACACGGCCCAGACUCCUACGGGAGGCAGCAGUGGGGAAUUUUGGACAAUGGGCGAAAGCCUGAUCCAGCCAUGCCGCGUGCAGGAUGAAGGCCUUCGGGUUGUAAACUGCUUUUGUACGGAACGAAAAGACUCCUUCUAAUAAAGGGGGUCCAUGACGGUACCGUAAGAAUAAGCACCGGCUAACUACGU